rnacentral:rRNA from 1 species
CCUACGGGAGACAGCAGUGAGGAAUAUUGGUCAAUGGGCGCGAGCCUGAACCAGCCAAGUCGCGUGAGGGAUGAAGGUUCUAUGGAUCGUAAACCUCUUUUAUAAGGGAAUAAAGUGUGGGACGUGUCCUAUUUUGUAUGUACCUUAUGAAUAAGGAUCGGCUAACUCCGUGCCAGCAGCUGCGGUAAUACGGAGGAUCCGAGCGUUAUCCGGAUUUAUUGGGUUUAAAGGGUGCGUAGGCGGCCUUUUAAGUCAGCGGUGAAAGUCUGUGGCUCAACCAUAGAAUUGCCGUUGAAACUGGGGGGCUUGAGUAUGUUUGAGGCAGGCGGAAGGCGUGGUGUAGCGGUGAAAUGCUUAGAUAUCACGCAGAACCCCGAUUGCGAAGGCAGCCUGCCAAGCCAUGACUGACGUUGAGGCCCGAAAGCGUGGGGAGCAAACAGGAUUAGAUACCCUUGUAGUC